rnacentral:rRNA from 1 species
AAUCAACGCUGGCGGCGUGCCUAACACAUGCAAGUCGAACGCGAAAGGGGCUUCGGCCCUGAGUAGAGUGGCGAACGGGUGAGUAACACGUGGGUGAUCUACCUUCGAGUGGGGGAUAACGUCCCGAAAGGGACGCUAAUACCGCAUGACGUUCUGGGUUUAAAGACCUGGAAACCAAAGCCGGGGACCGCAAGGCCUGGCGCUUGGAGAGGAGCCCGCGUCCGAUUAGCUAGUUGGCGGGGUAACGGCCCACCAAGGCGACGAUCGGUAGCCGGCCUGAGAGGGCGGACGGCCACACUGGGACUGAGACACGGCCCAGACUCCUAC